AUUGAACGCUGGCGGCAGGCCUAACACAUGCAAGUCGAGCGGGGUUUUCGGACCUAGCGGCGGACGGGUGAGUAAUGCGUAGGAAGCUGCCCGAUAGAGGGGGAUACCAGUUGGAAACGACUGUUAAUACCGCAUAAUGUCUACGGACCAAAGUGUGGGACCUUCGGGCCACAUGCUAUCGGAUGCGCCUACGUGGGAUUAGCUAGUUGGUGAGGUAAUGGCUCACCAAGGCGACGAUCUCUAGCUGGUUUGAGAGGAUGAUCAGCCACACUGGAACUGAGACACGGUCCAGACUCCUACGGGAGGCAGCAGUGGGGAAUUUUGGACAAUGGGGGCAACCCUGAUCCAGCCAUUCCGCGUGAGUGAAGAAGGCCUUCGGGUUGUAAAGCUCUUUCGGCAGGAACGAAACGGCGAGCUCUAACAUAGCUUGCUAAUGACGGUACCUGAAGAAGAAGCACCGGCUAACUACGUGCCAGCCGCCGCCGUAAAAC
rnacentral:rRNA from 1 species